GGGGAUUUAGCUCAGCGGCAUAAGCGCCUGCCUUGCAAGCAGGCAGUCGUAAGUUCGAUCCCCA
rnacentral:tRNA from 1 species